UGAAUACGAGAUGCUACGGCGUCGAAGCAGUCUAUGUCAUACUUCCAAGAAAAGCUCGCACUGUCAUAAACAAAUAAUGCCUGUACCAUAACCGACACAGGUGGGUAGGUAGAGUAUACUAAGGGGCGCGAGAUAACUCUCUCUAAGGAACUCGGCAAAAUGACUCCGUAACUUCGGGAGAAGGAGUGCCUUAUUUAUAAGGUUGCAAUAACAAGAUCCAAGCAACUGUUUAUCAAAAACACAGGUCUCCGCUAAGUCGUAAGACGAUGUAUGGGGGCUGACGCCUGCCCAGUGCCAGAAGGUUAAAGAAGUUGGUUAGCAUUCGCGAAGCUGAUAACUGAAGCCCUGGUGAACGGCGGCCGUAACAAUAACGGUCCUAAGGUAGCGAAAUUCCUUGUCGGGUAAGUUCCGACCCGCACGAAAGGCGUAAUGAUUUGGAUACUGUCUCGGAGAGGGGCUCGGUGAAAUAGACUUGUCUGUGAAGAUGCGGACUACCUGCACCAGGACAGAAAGACCCUAUGAAGCUUUACUGUAACUUGAGAUUGAAAUUGGACUUUACUUGCGCAGUAUAGGUGGGAGGCGUUGAUAAUAUUCUUGCGGGAUUAUUUGAGCCAUCAGUGAGAUACCACUCUUGUAAUGUUAGAUUUCUAACUUUGUAUCAUUAUCUGGUCAAAGGACAGUUUCAGGCGGGCAGUUUGACUGGGGCGGUCGCCUCCUAAACGGUAACGGAGGCGCACAAAGGUUUCCUCUGAACGGGUAGAAAUCGUAUCUAGAGUGUAAAGGCAUAAGGAAGCUUGACUGUGAGACCUACAAGUCGAGCAGGGACGAAAGUCGGUCUUAGUGAUCUGACGGUGCUGAGUGGAAAGGCCGUCACUCAACGGAUAAAAGUUACUCUAGGAUAACAGGCUGAUCUCCCCCAAGAGUUCACAUCGACGGGGAGGUUUGGCACCUCGAUGUCGGCUCAUCGCAUCCUGGGGCGGUAGUACGUCCCAAGGGUUGGGCUGUUCGCCCAUGAAAGCGGUACGCGAGCUGGGUUCAGAACGUCGUGAGACAGUUCGGUCCAUAUCCGGUGUAGGCGUUAGAAUAUUGAGAGGAGCCUUCUUUAGUACGAGAGGACCGAGAAGGACAUACCUCUGGUGUACCAGUUAUCGUGCCAACGGUAAACGCUGGGUAGCUAUGUAUGGAGUGGAUAACCGCUGAAAGCAUCUAAGUGGGAAGCCCACCUCAAGAUAAGUAUUCUCAUG
rnacentral:rRNA from 1 species